rnacentral:rRNA from 1 species
UACGAAGGGGGCUAGCGUUGCUCGGAAUCACUGGGCGUAAAGCGCACGUAGGCGGCUUUCUAAGUCAGGGGUGAAAUCCUGGAGCUCAACUCCAGAACUGCCUUUGAUACUGUCGAUCUAGAGUAUGGAAGAGGUGAGUGGAAUUCCGAGUGUAGAGGUGAAAUUCGUAGAUAUUCGGAGGAACACCAGUGGCGAAGGCGGCUCACUGGUCCAUUACUGACGCUGAGGUGCGAAAGCGUGGGGAGCAAACAGG